GAUGAGCGCUGGCGGCAUGCUUUACACAUGCAAGUCGGACGGAAAGUCGUGUUUCUUGUGGCGGACGGGUGAGUAACGCGUAAGAACCUGCCCUUGGGAGGGGAACCACAUCUGGAAACGACUUCUAAUACCCCGUAGCCUGAGGAGCGAAAGGAGGAAUCCGCCCAAGGAGGGGCUCGCGUCUGAUUAGCUAGUUGGUGAGGUAAUAGCUUACCAAGGCCGUGAUCAGUAGCUGGUCCGAGAGGAUGAUCAGCCACACUGGGACGGAGACAAGGAGCAGACUACUACGGGAAGCAGCAGUGGGGAAUGUUCAGCAAUGGGAGAAAGGCUGACGGAGCAAUGCGGGGGGGAGGAAAAAGGCCUAGGGGUAAAGAACUUCGUUUCCUGGAGAAGAAACAAUGACGGUAUCUGGGGAAUAAGCAUCGGCUAACUAUGUG
rnacentral:rRNA from 1 species